rnacentral:hammerhead_ribozyme from 1 species
CCACUACUGAGGAGUCCCACAAUAAGACGAAACGACUGUCUAGUAC